rnacentral:misc_RNA from 1 species
AACUUUCGGCAACGGAUCUCUUGGUUCUGGCAUCGAUGAAGAACGCAGCGAAAUGCGAUAAGUAGUGUGAAUUGCAGAAGUCAGUGAAUCAUCGAAUCUUUGAACGCACAUUGCGCCCCUUGGUAUUCCAUGGGGCAUGCCUGUUCGAGCGUCAUUUGUACCCUCAAGCCCUGCUUGGGGUUGGGUGUUUGUCCCGCUUUGCGCGUGGACUCGCCUUAAAGCAAUUGGCAGCCGGCAUAUUGUCUCGGAGCGCAGCACAUUUUGCGCUUCUAGCAUGAAUGUUGGUAUCCAGUAAGCCUUUACAUUUGCUCUUGACCUCGGAUCAGGUAGGGAUACCCGCUGAACUUAAGCAUAUCAAUAAGCGGAGGCU